CGGAAACAGAUGAAUUUGUCUCCAACAACAAUGACAAUAUAUUGAUGGAUCCCAUGGCUCGCUCCACAGCUUACCAGAAGAUGGUAUCACUUUGUUCGAAUAUCAGAAAUGAAGUUCGUACAGACAUAAAGAUCAAUAAUCAAAAUAUACUUCCGAGUUUCCUAGACCUCCCAAAUCUUUCAUCAGCCAUAUACUCCGCGGAGCUAUGUAGCAGAUUGCGUGCAUUCCUUGUUGCAUGUCCUCCAACUGGUCCCUCAUCUCCUGUAGCAGAACUCAUUGUCGCAACAGCUGAUCUUCAGAAAGAUUUUAGUUACUGGAACAUCAGUCCUGUCAAAGGUGGAGUUGAUGCAAAGGAGUUGUUCCAUCCAUACAUUACCCUCUGGAUCAAGGAGAAACGUCUUGCUUUGCUCGAAUUGUGUAAACCUGACAAGAUAAAGUGGCCCUGUGUAGAUACACAGCACUCAACAACUCCUUUUGUUGAUGAUAUCUAUGACCGACUGAAGGAGACAUUAACUGAAUAUGAUGCUGUCAUAAGACGCUGGCCUGAAUAUCUUUUCUCGUUGGAAACUGCUAUAGCAGAUGUAGAAAAGGCGGUUAUUGAAACUUUGGACAGGCAGUAUGCGGAUGUUUUAUCUCCAUUAAAGGAGAACAUAAUGCCCAUUAAAUUAGGUCUCAAGUAUGUCCAGAAAAUCACCAAAGGUACCGUAACUCCGUUUGCAGUCUGCAAAGAGCUGGGAAUUCUUUUAAAUUCCAUGAAGAGAAUGUUGGACGUUCUACGGCCCCAAAUUGAACUGCAAUUCAAGUCAUGGGGUUCUUGCCUGCCGGAUGGAGGAAAUGUCACUCCAGGAGAGCGUAUCAGUGAAAUUACAGUGAUGUUGAGAACUAAAUUCAGAGGUUAUAUGCAAGCAAUCAUGGAUAAACUGGUAGAAAAUACAAGAUUGCAUAGUCCCACUAAACUGAAGAAGAUAAUCCAAGAUGCUAAGGAAGGUACACAGGAAUCUGAUUUACGAGUUAGGAUUCAGCCGCUGAAGGAUCUGCUGGAUAAUGCAAUUGAGCAACUUCAUAUGGUAUUUGAGACACAAGUUUUCAUAAUUAUUUGUCGAGGCUUCUGGGAUCGUAUGGGGCAGGAUGUGCUAAAGUUUUUGGAAGAGAGAAAAGACAAUAGAUCUUGGUACAAAGCAUCACGAGUCGCAGUAUCGAUAUUAGAUGACAUAUUUGCAUCUGGAAUGCAAAAGUAUCUAGGCAAUGUACUUCAAGAGAAAGACUUGGAACCACCUAGAUCUAUUGCAGAUGUUCGAUCCAUGCUUUGUAAAGACGCAGUGAAUGACAACGACAACAACUACUUCUAUUAAGAGUAUCGACAAAACUUGUACAUAUCAUAUACCUAAUACUCCUACAUAGCACUUCCUUUCUUUCUACAUCGCGGAGAAAAUAUCAAGAAUUGCAGUCUCUCUUGCACCAUUCGGAGCGUAGAGAUGAAGAGAGGGUUCUGUCCAAUUUUGUUAGAUACUCUUAUCUUUUG
rnacentral:misc_RNA from 1 species